CAUGCAUUCCUGCCCUUCUCAAGAGGAUCAAGGAACUGCAUCGGGAAAUAAUUUGCCAUGAAUGAGAUGAAAGUGGCCGUGGCCUUGACCCUGCUCCACUUUGAACUGCUGCCAGAUCCCACCAGGAUCCCCAUCCUCCUACCGUGACUUGUGUUGAAGUCCAAGAAUGGGAUCCACCUGCAUCUUGGGAAACUCUGCUAUUCCUCCUGGGGAAAAGAAGA